rnacentral:rRNA from 1 species
UACGAAGGGUGCAAGCGUUACUCGGAAUUACUGGGCGUAAAGCGUGCGUAGGUGGUUCGUUAAGUCUGAUGUGAAAGCCCUGGGCUCAACCUGGGAAUGGCAUUGGAUACUGGCGGGCUAGAGUGCGGUAGAGGGCAGUGGAAUUCCCGGUGUAGCAGUGAAAUGCGUAGAGAUCGGGAGGAACAUCUGUGGCGAAGGCGGCAUCCUGGACCGGCAUUGACGCUGAGGAGCGAAAGCCAGGGGAGCAAACGGG